GAUGAACGCUAGCGAUAGGCUUAACACAUGCAAGUCGAGGGGCAGCAUGGUCUUAGCUUGCUAAGGCUGAUGGCGACCGGCGCACGGGUGCGUAACGCGUAUGCAACUUGCCUCACAGAGGGGGAUAACCCGUCGAAAGACGGACUAAUACCGCGUACACUCUAUGUUGGGCAUCCAAUGUAGAGGAAAUGAAAUUCGCUGUGAGAUAGGCAUGCGUCCCAUUAGCUAGUUGGUGAGGUAACGGCUCACCAAGGCGACGAUGGGUAGGGGAACUGAGAGGUUGAACCCCCACACUGGUACUGAGACACGGACCAGACUCCUACGGGAGGCAGCAGUGAGGAAUAUUGGUCAAUGGGCGAGAGCCUGAACCAGCCAAGUCGCGUGAAGGAUGACUGUCUUAUGGAUUGUAAACUUCUUUUAUACGGGAAUAACAAGAGUCACGUGUGGCUCCCUGCAUGUUCCGUAUGAAUAAGCAUCGGCUAACUCCGUG
rnacentral:rRNA from 1 species